AUUGACUUUGUUGUAAACAUGUGUGAGCCUGCGUUCGUUCAACAAACUAUAUGUUUUCAUUGCAAAUAAGUGUCCUAAGAUUAUAGAUUAUAAUGCCCUGAAAGACCAACUUUUAAUAAAUUAUUGAUCACAGCUUGAGCUGCCCUGUGUCCAGACUAAAUGCAGCGUGACUUAUCCUAUGGAUCCUGCGGUUUGCUAAACAGCAGCUUCUCCUGGCACAAGCCGCUGCAAAUCAGACAAACUGAGACCAUGCAUUGCACCCGGCAGCUGUGGUAAGGAGUCGUCCACGGCAAGCUUGGCCCAACAGGUAAGAGAAGGCACUGCUCAGUUACGCAGUCCGUUACUGGGGAAAAAUAAUGGCAAUGCUA
rnacentral:lncRNA from 1 species